rnacentral:rRNA from 1 species
UGCUUAACACAUGCAAGUCGAACGGGCUCUUCGGAGCUAGUGGCGGGCGGGUGAGUAACGCGUGAGAAUCUGCCUUCAGGAGGGGGAUAACGACUGGAAACGGUCGCUAAUACCCCAUAUGCCUCCGGGUGAAAAGUAAUUCGCCUGAAGAUGAGCUCGCGUCAGAUUAGCUAGUUGGUGGGGUAAGAGCCUACCAAGGCGACGAUCUGUAGCUGGUCUGAGAGGAUGAUCAGCCACACUGGGACUGAGACACGGCCCAGACUCCUACGGGAGGCAGCAGUGGGGAAUUUUCCGCAAUGGGCGCAAGCCUGACGGAGCAAGACCGCGUGGGGGAUGACGGCCUAAUGGUUGUAAACCCCUUUUCUCUGGGAAGAAGACUGACGGUACCAGAGGAAUCAGCCUCGGCUAACUCCGUGCCAGCAGCCGCGGUAAUACGGAGGAGGCAAGCGUUAUCCGGAAUUAUUGGGCGUAAAGCGUCCGUAGGUGGUUAUUCAAGUCUGCUGUCAAAGCGUGGGGCUUAACUCCAUAGAGGCAGUGGAAACUGAGUGACUAGAGUGCGGUAGGGGUCGAGGGAAUUCCCAGUGUAGCGGUGAAAUGCGUAGAUAUUGGGAAGAACACCAGUGGCGAAAGCGCUCGACUGGGCCUGCACUGACACUGAGGGACGAAAGCUAGGGGAGCGAAAGGGAUUAGAUACCCCUGUAGUCCUAGCCGUAAACGAUGGAUACUAGGUGUUGCUCGUCAUCGACCCGAGCGGUGCCGUA